GUAGGAGCAGAUUUUUGAUAGCCCAGUAACAGGUUUAAACCACUUCCAGUGGCUGGAAUUCCAGUUGUUCUGCUUAUUACUGAAAGCCGCUAAAAGGAGGUGUUUCUGAAACCUUAGCACAGGUAAUGGACCAGGACGGGAGGGUGAAGUGAGUGACCUCAUGGAGUAAACAUGACCCUCUGCCCUCCUGGCUUGAGUUGUUGCUCCGAAGCAUGUGGUUUUGCAAGCUGGAAGUCUGGCAAUAGUUAACUAUGACUCUACAGCUGGUUAACCGAUGGAAAGUUGCCCACCAGACAGGCUGGAAAUCUCCACCCUUAACUUAGCUUCUGCUCGGCAGGUUUGUUAAUGAGCAAGCUACCUAAUACUAACAAGUUGGAUAUAAAAAGGGGAGGAAAUCUGAGCUCUGUGGACAUUUGAACACCUGAACACCUCUCAAGUUCCCCUGGAGACCACCAGCUGGCCACUGGACAUCUACAGUUAUCCAGUCGAGACCGUCUCAAGACCCUGGCCAUGGAUCGUCGGAUGGCCGUGUCUCCCCUGCUUUAUUUCUGACACCACCUCGCACAGAGUAAAGGUGUUGAGCUCCACCCAGAACUCGGUGCCCACGGCCAGCACGGUCAGCGUCACCCCCACGAUGGCCACGAAGAAGGCCAGCUUGAUCUUGCCCUCCUGGGCGUCGCU